UGGUGGAGUGAAACAUGGAGGGCGAUCUCAUCUCUCACUUUGCAUUAUUUAAGUAGGGGAUACUCUUUAUAUCAUAGAUGAUCAUAAAUUAUAUAAACAGUAAUUAAUAAUGUCCAAUUUUAGAUUCAACUCAGAAAUGUCAUCCCUGGGUGCCAAUUAUUUUGGUAAGGAGUCAUUUAGCUCACUUUUUUUUUUGGUAGAAGAUUUAGCUCACUUUGAUA
rnacentral:lncRNA from 1 species